rnacentral:rRNA from 1 species
UACGUAGGGUGCAAGCGUUAAUCGGAAUUACUGGGCGUAAAGCGUGCGCAGGCGGUUAUGCAAGACAGAUGUGAAAUCCCCGGGCUCAACCUGGGAACUGCAUUUGUGACUGUAUAGCUAGAAUCUUGGAGAGGUGAGUGGAAUUCCGAGUGUAGCAGUGAAAUGCGUAGAUAUGCGGAGGAACACCGAUGGCGAAGGCAAUCCCCUGGGCCUGCACUGACGCUCAUGCACGAAAGCGUGGGGAGCAAACAGG